rnacentral:rRNA from 1 species
GAUGAACGCUAGCGGCAGGCCUAAUACAUGCAAGUCGAACGGUGUCUUCGGACAUAGUGGCGCACGGGUGCGUAACACGUAUGCAACCUACCUUACAUUGGGGGAUAGCCUUUCGAAAGGGAGAUUAAUACCGCAUAAGACAGUAGCUGGGCAUCCAGCAGCUGUUAAAGAUUUAUCGAUGUAAGCUGGGCAUGCGUCCAAUUAGCUAGUUGGCAGGGUAACGGCCUACCAAGACGAUGAUCAGUAGGGGGCGUCAGAGCGUGGUCCCCCACACUGGCACUGAGAUACGGGCCAGACUCCUACGGGAGGCAGCAGUAGGGAAUAUUGGGCAAUGGAUGCAAGUCUGACCCAGCCAUGCCGCGUGCAGGAAGAAGGUCCUCUGGAUUGUAAAACUGCUUUUAUUCGGGGAAGGAAUAGUUUUCUUUGCGAGGGAAUGUGACGGUACCCGAUGAAUAAGCCACGGCUAACUAACGUGCCAGCAGCCGG